rnacentral:rRNA from 1 species
AUUGAACGCUGGCGGAAUGCUUUACACAUGCAAGUCGAACGGCAGCACGGACUUCGGUCUGGUGGCGAGUGGCGAACGGGUGAGUAAUGUAUCGGAACGUGCCAAGUCGAGGGGGAUAACGUAGUGAAAAUUACGCUAAUACCGCAUACGAUCUAUGGAUGAAAGCGGGGGAUCGCAAGACCUCGCGCGAUUGGAGCGGCCGAUAUCAGAUUAGGUAGUUGGUGGGGUAAAGGCCCACCAAGCCAACGACCUGUAGCUGGUCUGAGAGGACGACCAGCCACACUGGAACUGAGACACGGUCCAGACUCCUACGGGAGGCAGCAGUGGGGAAUUUUGGACAAUGGGCGAAAGCCUGAUCCAGCCAUUCCGCGUGCAGGAUGAAGGCCCUCGGGUUGUAAACUGCUUUUGUACAGAACGAAAAGGUUUCUACUAAUACUAGGAGCUCAUGACGGUACUGUAAGAAUAAGCACCGGCUAACUACGUGCCAGCCGCCGCGGUAA